rnacentral:rRNA from 1 species
UACGGGGGGGGCAAGCGUUGUUCGGAAUUACUGGGCGUAAAGGGCUCGUAGGCGGCCAACUAAGUCGGAUGUGAAAUCCCCAGGCUCAACUUGGGAACUGCAUCCGAUACUGGAUGGCUUGAAUUCGGGAGAGGGAUGCAGAAUUCCAGGUGUAGCGGUGAAAUGCGUAGAUAUCAGGAGGAACACCGGUGGCGAAGGCGGAUCUCUGGACCGAUACUGACGCUGAGGAGCGAAAGCGUGGGGAGCAAACAGG